rnacentral:rRNA from 1 species
GAUGAACGCUGGCGGCGUGCUUAACACAUGCAAGUCGAACGGAAAGGCUCCUGCUUGCAGGGGUACUUGAGUGGCGAACGGGUGAGUAACACGUGGGUGAUCUGCCCUGCACUUCGGGAUAAGCCUGGGAAACUGGGUCUAAUACCGGAUAGGACCACAUUUUGGAUGGUGUGGUGGAAAGUUUUUCGGUGUGGGAUGAGCUCGCGGCCUAUCAGCUUGUUGGUGGGGUAAUGGCCUACCAAGGCGUCGACGGGUAGCCGGCCUGAGAGGGUGUACGGCCACAUUGGGACUGAGAUACGGCCCAGACUCCUACGGGAGGCAGCAGUGGGGAAUAUUGCACAAUGGGCGCAAGCCUGAUGCAGCGACGCCGCGUGGGGGAUGACGGCCUUCGGGUUGUAAACUCCUUUCGCUAGGGACGAAGCGUUUUUGUGACGGUACCUGGAGAAGAAGCACCGGCUAACUACGUG